AUUAAUAUUGAAAACAUUAAGUACACGAAAGUUGUACUUUCACUGAACUUUAUUACAAUUUUAUGGUAUAUCGGAGUCAGAAUGGGUGUAACUUGUGUUCCGACAACCGAAAUUGCAGGAUCGAGACCGAAAUUCAUUUUUACGACAUCGCAAAAAACAGAUAGAAAUAUUAUCCCAUCCACAAUAUGAUUAAGAGUGUCUGCAAGCGAGCGUUGAAAUUUACUUUUGUGAAUCCCAAUAACUGACAGUAUAAUCAACAAAGUUCCAGCGAAAACCUGUACCAAGAAAAGGAAAUAAGAAACGAAAUUCCGUCAAUAUUUUUUGUAAAAAUUUAUGAAUUCAAAUGUAUAUACGUUCCAUACAUGUACAUAUUUAUAAGUAUUUUUUAAUUUUAAUAUUGCUGAAUAAAUCGCAAAAUCAGCUGCUCUGGUGCGACCACCUUGAAUGAGUUCGUCUUGGCACACGUACACGAUGCACAGAAGGACACAAGCAUGAGUAAAAAAUGUGCUUAAUGGUGCCAGUGAAACCACGAAAUGGAGAAAAAAACCUUUUUUCGGGCAAGUGACUCGCUUAUUUUUUUACAACAUUUUCGCACACCCCUAAAAAAACUUUAUUUUUACAAUCUUUUUUCUGUACUUUCAUCUUCAUUUUUGGUUCUACCAGUGCAUGUUUGACAUUGAAAAACAACUGGAAGUUCUCCGUAGUCCCUAGUGAAAGCAGGCUCCUUGAAGUAGUGCGAGGGCUUGGUCCAAUCGCUAAUCAGACCUUAUCGGCGGUUGUAACUAAGUAAAUAUGAGUAUUUACCAGAGUUGGACAUUUUUUAGUGCUUUUUGAACGACGGCCAAGAUUUGCUGGGUGGAAGCAUCCCGAAUGGCAUGCUGUAAGACUCGGAAGGUAGGAGGAUGAUGAAAGUGGGGUGCAAUGCAAUUCUCACCCCCUGCUAUUGUGCAAACGUUUGCGAUAUUCCCAGUCGCCAACGUACAAAGGACCAAAAAUCUUCCAAUCUUUCUCUCGACAUUCUAAGGCCCACUUCAUAGGAAAUUGUCAUCGUCCACACAGAAUAGGUUUGAUUGAUGAGAGGUGUAUGUAUAAAGUAUGAUUUUUGUUCAUGAAGGGAGAAUUUUACUGCUGAAAUGCCUCCAAACUAACACUCCGUUUGAUUUCAAGGCUGAAAUUAUUAUCUGUGUCUCAAAUAAAUAAAGUUUCUUAUUAUAACUGUCCACAGUGAUGUGGCUGACGAUA